GUSUUUAGGCAUGAUAUUUAACCGUGGAUGGCCGUCAACUGGUGAGAUUCGUUGGCAAUUUWCAUGUAAGGCACCAAAUCAAAGUCUUGAAACGAAUAAAUAUGGAUACAUGUAGUGUACAAGAAGCUCAAUCCAGUCGCUCAAUCAGCUGAAACUAAUGAAGGACAAGAAAGGGAAGAAAUUGUCAUAAAAAAUUGUUAGUGUUCAGGAUUUGCACGCACUUAGAGUGUGUACUCUAUCGACCACUUUUGUUACUGUUGAAUUGAAGUGACGUUCAUCGAGUUUUAAUAUGAUUGAAUAAAAUAGUGCAAUUUGGUUGGC